rnacentral:lncRNA from 10 species
GUUACUUGCUUCAUCUGUUCUGUGUUGGUUUUACUAAAAAACGCAACAAUCAGAUACGGAAGACCUCUUAUGCUCAGCACCAACAGGUCCGCCAAAUCCGGAAGAAGAUGAUGGAAAUCAUGACCCCAGAGGUGCAGACAAAUUACAGUGGUCAAUAAAUUGAUUCCAGACAGCAUUGGAAAAGACAUAGAAAAGGCUUGCCAACCUAUUUAUCCUCUCCAUGAUGUCUUCGUUAGAAAAGUAAAAAUGCUGAAGAAGCCCAAGUUUGAAUUGGGAAAGCUCAUGGAGCUUCAUGGUGAAGGCAGUAGUUCUGGAAGAGCCACUGGGGAUGAGACAAGUGCUAAAGUUGAACGAGCUGAUGGAUAUGAACCACCAGUCCAAGAAUCUGUUUAAAGUUCAGACUUCAAAUAGUGGCAAAUAAAAAGUGCUAUUUGAAAAAAAA